ensembl:lncRNA
AUGGGAGCGAGAGAGAAGGAAGCGCUCGGGUCUGCAAGCGACUAGAGGCUCACGGAGGGCCCAAGAGACUGUCUAUCAUGGAUAAUUAACUGCAGUUCUGUGAGUAUCCCAAAUUAACCAUGAAGAUGAACUGCGAACUGUAAGUCAUUAAUUUCUCAUUACUCUUGGGCACAUUGAUGUAUUUUGGCUUCCUGGUGAGUUAACUUGUUACCUGAAGGUUGAUCUGAGUAAGGAUGUUUUAUUGGUUCAUGGGUUACUUAGGUGUUUUGUUUAUGUUGGUUUGAAAUGAUUUGUUAAAAUGGUUACAGGCUCCAGUGAAUUGUUGUAAGCAGGAGUAAUGGGUUGGGUUCUGAUAUCUUCAGUCUUCUUUCAUUCUACUCUCCUGACGUCUGCAUCUUUAUCACAUGAGUGUUGCUUUACUGAUGAGGGUGUGGUCUGAGCGAGCGGAGGUGCAUACUGGGAUACAGAGCUGUCUGAAGUCUACAGGUCUGUAGACACGCCCCCUCAGGGGAAACCGAGUGUUUGAGAAAUCGUCGAGACGUCAGUUACAUGGACUGGAAUGUUCUUUAAAAUGGACUCAGGGAUUCAGAAGGAGAAACACCAGGGGGAGAUGAGGGGGGCUCUUCAUCUCAACGACUAAAACACAACUUCAGUCUGACACAGAACCAUGGAACACAUUCAACAGUCUCCUCCAGGCAUCGUGAAUCCUCAAGAACAGUUUCAUUUCCAAGAAGGUCCUAUUUGGGGCCAUCCCCAUAUGGAUCCUGCUCCUCAAGAGCCACCCCCCUCCACUGGGUGGUCUUCUGAACAGAUGACCUCCUUCCUGUCCUCUGGCUGACUAAAGCUGCACAGUUUGCAUCUGUGAAGGCCCGUCAUUCAGGAAACCACUGGACUACAAAGACAUGACUUCAGAGAUGUUGAAUCAACCUGGGACACAUUUUGGAGACGCCAAGCAUAAUCCAUCACCAAUGUGGGACGCCACUGAAGAAUGUUGUACAUAAUUUACGUCUCUGGAGACAUUGGUUGUUCUGUUAUGGGUGCCCUGGCAGGAGAGCUGGGGUGAUGGAAUGUUAUUUGGCAUGAGGUUUUUACCCUGCAUGAUUGUUUGGCCUUUUAUGGCUCAGUGUUGUGUGUUUGGCAUGAGAUGGAUGUUUUUUGAGCAUCGAUAGGGUUCUUGUGUGUGUGUGUGUGUGUGUGUGUGUGUGUGUGUGUGUGUGUGUGUGUGUGUCUCUCCGACUCACACCUGGCAUGGGGUUCUACGUGCCUGUUCUGGGUUCUGUGUGCGUGUCCGGCUUGCUUUGACAGUGAUGUUCAUGCAGGGGUCUAUGUGAUUGGCCUGGGAUAUUGGAAUGGUCAAAUAAAUCAUACCUGAUGGACGGCCACAUGUUUACUUAAGGGCCUCCAGUAGACAUGAAGAGCCCUGAGCGACGCUCCGGAGUGAUAUCCAACACACUGGGCAGGAAGGAGAGUAUCCAAAUCAAAUGUAAAAGGAUGCAAGCAGCGUGUUCAGCUCAGCGACUUCAAACUAGGACUACACCAAUCAGGAUCAAUGGAGGAUGGACACCUAAAGGAAUUCCACAAGGAGACUGACGUUGGAAAGGGACGUAAAUGGAUAUUCAAGAUGACAUUCAGACCUGUAAUGAGACGGCUCUUCCUACCUGGCUGGAUUGAUGGAGAGCCCUCUGGAUCUUGUCUUGCUCUCAGUUGCACGUCUUCUCAGGCUGAACUGUAUUUUUUUCGGACAGGACUAGCUGAACGAUUGGUUCCUCAAAUCAGAACCACUCCGGGAACUCCAGCUAGUGCACUCUUCAAGCUGAAGUUGUGCUCUUCAGCUGAGGAGGUAAGGAAACCUUCGCUGGGGCUUCAAGGUGUAAAGAGGAGAAUGUUUGGAAGUGUUCCAUGGUACUCUGAUGAAGACCGUUGUUGUUUUCCUCUGGCUGAGAGAAUCAACCCACAUCUUCCUCUUGGACUUUCUCCUCUGAGAAGCCUGGCGCCAUCUUGAAGGAUAUUCCAGCUCAUGUAACUGAUGUCACGACAGAUUCUCAAACACUUGGUUUCUCCUUAGGGGCGUGUCUAUAGAACUGAAGACUUCAGACGGCACUGUAUCCCAGCAUGCAUCUCUGCUCACUCAGACCACACCCCCAUGAGUAGGAUGCAACACUCUAGUGAUGGAGAUGUAGAGUUUUAUAAGUAACGAGGGAGCAGACAAAGGUGAUUAGAACACUAUGGAAUGUCAAGUCUGUAAAUCUUUAAACCAUGAAGAUGGUUGGAUAGUUCAGGAAUUGGGCUUCUCUUCAUCAUUGGCAGUCUUUUCACUCAGAUGCCCACUUCUCACUGGAGCUGUACAUGUGUUGGCUGGCUGGCAUGAUUUGCUGUUGGUGAUGAGGCGGUCAGGGUGACAUUGCAGGGCUAUGGUCGGCUCGCUGUGAGCGGCUCGCUGUGAGCUCAACGUUUAGAUUUGCUCUGUAUGGUUUUUACCCUGAAUAAUCUAGAUAAUUGUAAAAUGUAGACACGGUUUUGUAUUGAAUGAUUCCAGGAUUUUAUGUUUAAAGUUGUUGUGGGACGAACAUGGUAGUUUGGUUCUUUGUACGGUUUUAAGUGAUAUAACUUGUAUACACUGGGUGCGUAAUAAUGUAAAGGUACACUGAAUAGUACUGUAUUAAUGACCAACAGCAACAAACAGAUCUCCUCAAGGUAAGUCUGUUGGCUGUGUUUUAAUGAAGACCAUCGCUGGACUUCAGGAUCUUCCUCCGUUCAGCUCAAGGUGAGGCGCUGGUUCUGUUUUUUCUUUGGUUGGUUCCGGCUGGAAUGUUCGGAUUCCAGUCGGACGGUUUGUGCUUCCCGCCGGGAAGUUUCUGAGUGCGGUCAUUUGAUUUAGUCCCAAUGGUUAGCAUAGAACGUUGUAGUCUUAAACCAUAAGAAACCACCUGGCAGUUAGUUGGACGGAAGUCCCCUGAGGGAAUCAGGCGGAACGUUCUGGAUUGUAUUUGCGUAACCUCGAGACGUUGUCAACGGAAAAUAUUUUUCAGUCGCUUUCCAUUGGGAAUGGUUGCCCCUAUCUUAAACAACUUAAGGUUGAUAUUAAAUACAUACUGACACGUACGUCGUACAAUAUGUUGAUAAUUUCCGAUGGUUGCGCCGUACUUUUAACCACGAUGACGUGACGGGACUCUCACUACGUACAAAACGGCGUUCUCCUUGCGGGCCCAUUUUUGACAUCAUUGAAGGCUGAAAAUAAUUUCAAGGUGGAAGAUAAUUUGACAUUUCUUCAACGGAACCCAGCACCUGAAUAUGGCUGAGUAUAUUUGAUUUACUAUCGGUACUGCUUCGUGUUCUAUGUUACUUCAGCUUUUGUAUGUUCUAAAUAUCUGCUUUCAUUAAUUGCCACAAGAUAAACCCUACCCAAUGGAAUGAUGUUAAACAACGACUUUGGUGCAGAGUUACCAACUGGAUAAUAUCAAAGCUAAAAUAAUGUCUGUCCUUCCCACAUGUUACAGUAGAAGAUACUCUAGAACUGUACAAGGUUGAAAAGGUAACAUGUAGUUUGUCCCAAGGUGUCUGCCUCCUCACCCAGAGCAAGACCUCCACCUCCUCACCCAAAGCCAGACCUCCACCUCCUGUCAGAAGUCCUCCAGUACAGCUGAAAGGCGAGGCUGGGGACCGGAGGCUUGUGGUGCCAGAGUGGACCGGAGACUGAGGCUGGAGACCAGGGGCCUGCAGCACCGGAUCAGAGGACCAGGAAUCCAUGGCUGAAGGAGUUGAUGGAGGAGCCGUGCUGAAGGAGCUGAUAGAGGAGCUGAUGGAGGAGCCGUGCUGGAGGAGCUGAUGGAGGAGCCGUGCUGGAGGAGCUGAUGGAGGAGCCAUGCUGACGGAGCUGAUGGAGGAGCCGUGCUGACGGAGCUGAUGGAGGAGCUGAGACGCUGGAGGUCGACUAGGAAUCGACCAACAAGGAUUCCUCAAAGUGUUUCUGGAGCGGAGGCAAGUUGGUAGAAGAGCGGGAAUCUGGAGGAUGACCAUCACUCUACCAACAAGCUGAAAGGCGAGGCUGGGGACCGGAGGCUUAUGGUGCCAGAGUGGACCGGAGACUGAGGCUGGAGACCAGGGGCCUGCAGCACCGGAUCAGAGGACCAGGAAUCCAUGGCUGAAGGAGCUGAUGGAGGAGCCGUGCUGAAGGAGCUGAUUGAGGAGCCGAGCUGAUGGAGGAGCCGUGCUGAAGGAGCUGGUAGAGGAGCCGUGCUGAAGGCCCUGCCUGGUGGAGGAGCUGGUGGAGGGCCUGCCAGGUGAAUGACUUCUGUCGUGGGAAAGUGUUUCUGGAGCGGAGGCGAGUUGUUAGAGGAGCCGUGAAGCUGGAGGAUGACCAUCACUCUACCAACAAGGAUCCUCGUCUAUCAUGGAUAUUUAACUGCAGUUCUGUGAGUAUCCCAACUUAACCAUGAAGAGGAACUGCAAACUGUAAGUCAUAAGUUUCUCAUUACUCUUGGGCACAUUGAUGUAUUUUGGCUUUCUGGUGAGUUAGCCCAUUACCUGAAGGUUGAUCUGAGUAGUAAGGAUGUUUUAUUGGUUCAUGGGUUACUUAGGUGUUUGGUUUAUGUUGGUUUUAAUGAUUUGUUAAAAUGGUUACAGGCUCCAAGUUAUUGUUGUAAGCUGGAGCAAUGGGUUGGGUUCUUUUCAGCUACUCUCCUGAGCUCUGCAUCUUCAUCACAUGAGUGUUGCUUUACUGAUGAGGGUGUGGUCUGAGUGAGCGGAGCUGCAUACUGGGAUACAGAGCUGUCUGAAGUCUACAGGUCUGUAGACAAGCCCCCUCAGCGGAAACCGAGUGUUUGAGAAACCGUCGUGACGUCAGUUACAUGGACUGGAAUGUUCUUAAAGAUGGAGACAGGGAUUCAGAAGGAGAAACACCAGGGGGGAUGAGGGGGCUCGUCAUCUCAACGACUAAAACACAGCUUCAGUCUGACACAGAGAACCAUGGAACACAUUCAACAGUCCCCUCAGACAUCGUGACUCCUCAGGAACAGUUUCAUUUCCAUGAAGGUCUUAUUGGGGCCAUCCCCAGACGGAUCCUGCUCCUGAAGAGCCACCCCCCUCCACUGGGUGGUCUUCUGAACAGAUGACCUCCUUCCUGUCCUCAGGCUGACUAAAGCUCCGUUUGCAUCUGUGAAGGCCCCUCAUUCAGGAAACCACUCGACUACAAAGACAUGACAUCAGAGAUGUUGAAUCAACCUGGGACACAUUUUGGAGACGCCAAGCAUAAUCCAUCACCAAUGUGGGACGUCACUGAAGAAUGUUGUGCAUAAGAAAACGUCUCUGGAGACAUCGGUUGUUCUGUUCUGGUUGCCCUGGCAGGAGAGCUGGGGGGGGGGGGGAGAGGAGGAUGCUGGAAUGUUAUUUGGCAUGAGGUUUUUACCCUGCAUGAUUGUUUGGCCUUUUAUGGCUCAGUGGUGUGUGUGUUCGGUUUGACAUGAGAUGGAUGACUUUUGAGCAUCGCUAGGGUUCUACUGUGUGUGUCUCCCACUCACACCUGGCAUGGGGUUCUACGUGCCUGUCCUGGGUUCUAUGUGAAUGUUGUGCAUAAGAAAACGUCUCUGGAGACAUUGGUUGUUCUGUUCUGGUUGCCCUGGCAGGAGAGCUGGGGGGGGGGGAGGAAGAGGAGGAUGCUGGAAUGUUAUUUGGCAUGAGGUUUUUACCCUGCAUGAUUGUUUGGCCUUUUAUGGCUCAGUGGUGUGUGUGUUCGGGUUUGACAUGAGAUGGAUGAUUUUUGAGCAUCGCUAGGGUUCUACUGUGUGUCUCCUACUCACACCUGGCAUGGGGUUCUUCGUGCCUGUCCUGGGUUCUAUGUGUGUGUCCGGCUUGCUGUGACGGUGAUAAUGUUCAGACGGGGGUCUGUGUGAUUUGGCUUGGGAUAUUGGAAUGUUCAAAUAAAUCAUACCUGGUGGACGGACACACCUUUACUUGAGGGCCUCCAGUAGGCAUGAAGAGCCCUGAGCAACGCUCCCGAGCGAUAUCCAACACGCUGGGCAGGAAGGACGGUAUCCAAAUCAAAUGUAAAAGGAUGCAAGCAGCGUGUUCAGAUCAGUGACCUCAAACUAGGACUACACCAAUCAGGAUCAAUGGAGGAUGGACACCUAAAGGAAUUCCACAAGGAGACUGACGUUGGAAAGGGACCUAAAUGGAUAUUCAAGAUGACCUUCAGACCGGUAAUGAGACGGCUCUUCCUACCUGGCUGGAUUGAUGGAGAGCCCUGUGGAUCUUGUCUUGCUCUCAGUUGCACGUCUUCUCAGACUGAACUGUAUAUGUUUCGGACGGGACUAGCUGAACGAUUGGUUCUGAUUUAAGGGAACCAAUCCGGGAACUCCAGCUAGUGCGCUCUUCGAGCUGAAGUUGUGCUCUUCAGCUGAGGAGGUAAGGAAACCUUCACUGGGUCUUCAAGGUGUAAAGAGGAGAAUGUUUCAAAGUGUUCCAUGGUACUCUGAUGAGGACCGUCCGUUGUUGUGUUCCACUGGCUGAGAGGAAGAAACCUCACAUCUUCCUCUUGGACUUUCUCCUCUGAGAAGCCUGGCGCCAUCUUGAAGGAUAUUCCAGCUCAUGUAAUUGAUGUCGCGACAGAUUCUCAAACACUUGGUUUCUCCUGAGGGGCUUGUCUAUAGAACUGAAGACUUCAGACAGCACUGUAUCCCAGCAUGCAUCUCUGCUCACUCAGACCACACCCCCAUGAGUAGGAUGCAACACUCUAGUGAUGGAGAUGUAGAGUUUUAUAAGCUCGCUGUGAGCGGCUCAACGUUUAGAUUUGCUCUGUAUGGUUUUUACCCUGAAUAAUCUAGAUAAUUGUAAAAUGUAGACACACUUUUGUAUUGAAUGAUUCCAGGAUUUUAUGUUUAAAGUUGUUGUGGGACGAACAUGGUAGUUUGGUUCUUCGUACGGUUUUAAGUGAUAUAACUUGUAUACACUGGGUGCGUAAUAAUGUAAAGGUACACUGAAUAGUACUGUAUUAAUGACCAACAGCAACAAACAGAUCUCCUCAAGGUAAGUCUGUUGGCUGUGUUUUAAUGAAGACCAUCGCUGGACUUCAGGAUCUUCCUCCGUUCAGCUCAAGGUGAGGCGCUGGUUCUGUUUUUUCUUUGGUUGGUUCCGGCUGGAAUGUUCGGAUUCCAGUCGGACGGUUUGUGCUUCCCGCCGGGAAGUUUCUGAGUGCGGUCAUUUGAUUUAGUCCCAAUGGUUAGCAUAGAACGUUGUAGUCUUAAACCACCUGGCAGUUAGUUGGACGGAAGUCCCCUGAGGGAAUCAGGCGGAACGUUCUGGAUUGUAUUUGCGUAACCUCGAGCCGUUGCCAACGGAAAAUAUUUUUCAGUCGGUUUCCAUUGGGAAUGGUUGCCCCCUAUCUUAAACAACUUAAGGUUGAUAUUAAAUACAUACUGACACGUACGUCGUACAAUAUGUUGAUAAUUUCCGAUGGUUGCGCCGUACUUUUAACCACGAUGACGUGACGGGACUCUCACUACGUACAAAACGGCGUUCUCCUUGCGGGCCCAUUUUUGACAUCAUUGAAGGCUGAAAAUAAUUUCAAGGUGGAAGAUAAUUUGACAUUUCUUCAACGGAACCCAGCACCUGAAUAUGGCUGAGUAUAUUUAAUUUACUAUCGGUACUGCUUCGUGUUCUAUGUUACUUCAGCUUUUGUAUGUUCUAAAUAUCUGCUUUCAUUAAUUGCCACAGAAGAUAAACCCUACCCAAUGGAAUGAUGUUAAACGACUUUGGUGCAGAGUUACAAACUGGAUAAUAUCAAAGCUAAAAUAAUGUCUGUCCUUCCCACAUGUUACAGUAUAAGAGACUCUAGAACUGUACAAGGUUGAAAAGGUAACAUGUAGUUUGUCCCAAGGUGUCUGCCUCCUCACCCUCACCCAAAGCCAGACCUCCACCUCCUGUCAGAAGUCCUCCAGAACAGUUCAGUGCUCUGGUGUGUGAAGAGUCUUCUCAGCUGAAAGACGAGGCUGGGGACCGGAGGCUUGUGGUGCCAGAGUGGACCUGAGGCUGGAGACAAAGGGGCCUGCAGCACCGGACCAGAGGACCAGGAAUCCAUGGCUGAUGGAGGAGCCGUGCUGAAGGAGCUGAUGGAGGAGCCGUGCUGACGGCGCUGAUGGAGGAGCUGUGCUGAAGGGCCUGCCUGGUGAAUGACGUCCGUCGUGGGGUAGAUGAAGCCUGACUCUGAAACCAGGACUCUGUCUGAGGAGAGCUGCUGGAGGAGCUGAGACGCUGGAGGUCGACUAGGAAUCGACCAACAAGGAUUCCUCAACGUGUUUCUGGAGCGGAGGCGAGCUGGUAGGGGUGCCGUGAAUCUGGAGGAUGACCAUCACUCUACCAACAAGGAGUACUAGGACUCCGGCUGAGGAGAGCUGAUGGAGGAGCCAAGACUCUGGAGGACGACAUCACUCUACCAACCAGGAUCCUCACCAGGAAUCUGGAGGAACGAUGGAGAAGCCGUACAUCUGGAAGGCAACUCCUUAGGACAACCAGGACUCUACUAUCAAGGAUUCCUUAUAAGUUUGCAUUAUCUGGACAUAGUGGACUAGACGCACCUGAGCUGAACCUCACCUGAUCCUGUUUUGUCGGGGGUAGACACACCUGAGCUGAACGCGCCCUGAUCCUGACAUCCUGCUGGUCCCGUCUCCUCAGUUCAUCUGAGCCUCGUCCUCCAGAAGACCUGCUGAGCUCAGCAGUCUGAGGCUGAUGGAUCAAUGACCUCCAGUGGGAGUGAUCUUCUUGACCCCACAUGUAACCCUGUGCUUCCACAUGCCUUUCCCUCACGUCUGUCACUAACUUCACUACUCUCUACUGCUUCCUCUUUUCUUCCUUCUCUGUGGUUCAAACCUUUACACUGAAGGCGCGUCUUCCUGCCCUCAGAGGGUUCAGCGUUAGGGUUGAGAGUCAGGGUUUAGAGUCAGGGACAGAGCUGGUCAGGGAGGACUGCUUUUACACAAACCUCUUCACUUGCUUUCGGAAUGGUGGACAUUUUAAAAGAUUAAUUUGGGAAAAUGUUUUCCUCUGCUUUCCUUUACAAAAUUGUGUUAAACUUCUGUCAAGUGUUUUUUAUAUUAAAAUCCCACAUUGACUUCUACAUGUUUGGUGCUGUUCAUUUAAUUGUCCUUUAACUUAGUUAAUGUCAAGCUAAACUCCUG